UACGUAGGGGGCUAGCGUUGUCCGGAAUCAUUGGGCGUAAAGCGCGUGUAGGCGGUCCGGUAAGUCCGCUGUGAAAGUCCAGGGCUCAACCCUGGGAUGCCGGUGGAUACUGUCGGGCUUGAGUACGGAAGAGGCGAGUGGAAUUCCUGGUGUAGCGGUGAAAUGCGCAGAUAUCAGGAGGAACACCAAUUGCGAAGGCAGCUCGCUGGGACGUUACUGACGCUGAGACGCGAAAGCGUGGGGAGCGAACAGG
rnacentral:rRNA from 1 species